UACGUAGGCAGCAAGCGUUGUUCGGAGUUACUGGGCGUAAAGAGUGCGUAGGCGGUGCUCUAAGUUUGGUGUGAAAUCUCCCGGCUUAACUGGGAGGGUGCGCCGAAAACUGGAGUGCUUGAGUAUGGGAGAGGCAAGCGGAAUUCCUGGUGUAGCGGUGAAAUGCGCAGAUAUCAGGAGGAACACCGGUGGCGAAGGCGGGUCUCUGGGCCGAUACUGACGCUGAGGAGCGAAAGCGUGGGGAGCGAACAGG
rnacentral:rRNA from 1 species